CAGCACAUGUUUGAGAAGUAAUUUCUGAUUUGAGUGUAGGGGAUGGGGUGAGAGGAAAGGUCUAAGGGAAAGCAGAGUGCCCUUAAGAAAUUCAUAUUUAAUUUUUUUCUUUUUUUUUUUUUUGUCUUUUUGUCUUUUUAGGGACACACCCACAGCAUAUGGAGGUUUCCAGGCUAGGGGUUGAAUCAGGCCUGUAGCUGCCAGCUUACGCCACAGCCACAGCAGAUCUGAGCCAUAUCUGCGACCUUCAUCACAACUCACGGCAACACCAGAUCCUUAACCCACUGAGCAAGGCCAGGGAUGGAACCCACAACCUCAUGGUUCCUAGUCGGAUUCGUUUCUGCUGCGCCACGACGGGAACUCCAAGAAGUUCAUAUUUAAUUUAGAAGAGAAGUAAGGGGUGCAUUGUCAUCUGUCUCCUGUUUUAAGAAAAGGACUGUAGGCUUGUAUUAGGCCUGCUUUAUUUGAAUUCUUCUUAAUUAUGCAAGAGAUACAUAGAUGUGGUCUGCACUUACAAAUUAGAAUAUUAGGCAGAAAGAUAAAACCCCUCUGCCAGAACCCUAGACUAAAUAUGCACACACACAUCAACUUGGAUAUAUAUGCAUGUACAUAUGCACAUACGUAUGCAAACAUAAAAAUAUACAUAUAUAUGCACACAUACAUGUAAUUUACAAUAAAUAUUCAUAACAGAGCAUGAUGUAGUGUGAUACUUUAAUUUUUUUCUAAUCUGACUUUUUAGUAUUACUCAGUUUGUCUUUUUUAUAGAAAAUGAAUUUUUUUUAAUCUAUACAGUUUGAGGUAGACCAGAUAAGAUAAAGCAUAUUGUUAAGGGCCUGGAUUAUGGAGCCAGACUGCCUGGGUAUGACCUUGCACCGGCUAUUAAUGUUUCUAUUCUACAGUUCUUCAUCUGUAAAAUUGGGUUAUAAAUGGAACUACCUCACAGGUUUGUUGUGAUAAUUAAGUGAAUUAAUAUGGAUAAACCACUUAGAACAGUGCCUGACAUAUUGUAGGAGCUCUAUAAGUUUUACAAAUAGCUGAGGUUUGAACUUUAACUACUACGGUAAAUUCCAACAUGUGAAUACAUUGUAUUUUAUUUAGCCAGUUCUGAUUGACGGAUCGACUCUUCUAAUUUUGUGUUAUUACAAACAAUCCUGUAAUAAAUGUUUGAUCAAUUUAUAAAGCUUGUUUUUGAAACAUGUGUUACAACUAGCAUGGCAAAUGCUACUCUCUUGGCACAUACGUUUUAAAUCACAAUGAUGCUAAGAAUUUAAUGUAACUGCUUCCUAAAUUUGCACACUUGAGAUCAUUUUUCCCAUCUAUGAAAUGACUUGAGAGAAGUUGUAUCCCAAAGAUUUAAUGAGGUUAUGUCCCUUUUAACUGUCAAGAGCUCCCCAUUCUUGCACUGACAUUCUUUUGAAUUGUUGAUAAUUAAUCAGGAACAUCAGUGGUGAAAUGUCACAUAGAUAUCACUCCAACUCUUCGAGCUGUAGCUUUAAAGGGAGGAUUUUCUCCUUCUCUGCUGGCCCUGUCAUUGCCAAGAUUUCCCUCUUAUUAACCUUGAAGUCACACAGAACAGCCUCUCCUGUGAUUUCAUCAUAUCUCCCAUCUAAAGAGAUGCUAUCACACUCCAAAAAAAUAAAUUAAAAGGACCACAUCACCCCCACACAGAGGCAGGUCACAGGUUUUUUUUCCCCCAAUAGGAUUUCUUGACUCACCUGUCACAGAUAAGCCUUCACAGUCUUUACUGUGGGGCUUGUAUCACAUCAGUUUGCAUAGAACAUUUUAAUUUUGAAAACUAUUUGUGAAAUUCUCUUUCUUUUGAUGAGGCCUAUCUUCUUUGAGCUUUAUGAAAAAGGAGUUAUCUGCAUCUUUUUAAAAAAUUUUUACUGGAAUGUAGUCGGCUUUAAUGUAUUAGUUUUAAGUGUACAGCAGAGUGAAUCAAUUAUGUAUACACAUAUAUCCAUUCUUGUUCAGAUUCAUUUUCCCAUUUGGUGAUUACAGAGUACUGAGUAGACCUAUAGAGUAGGUCCUUGUUACUGCAUCUUUUAAAAUAUUUCUUCAGUUUCACAAUGGUGAUACAUUUAUCAAUAAAACUGCUAAGACAAAUUUUAUAAAAACUUUCCAACAUCUCUGUAAACUAUACAAAGUGGAAAGAUAUCUUGGUUAGGUGAGUAUGGGAAAACAUCCCCCUGUGCAACUUUUCUUGGAUUUAGCAGAGUUGCUGGCAUUCAGGUUUGACUCCAGGGAAGAUGAUGAAGGCUGUGGAGUUUUACAUCAGCAUCCUGGCAUUUCUCUUCAAUGUCCAAAAACCACUUGAUUCCUUUGGUUUACAAAUUGUCCUGUUUCUCCAGUCCUUUUCAGCCUGUGCUCUCUCUCCUACUAGAAAUAUCAGCAUAAUGAGAAGAGUGAGCCAGUGGAAGAAUUUCUAGGAAGGGGCAGCAAUUAGCAAGAGAGGAGAGUUGGGGGAGACACAGGGGCCAGAGCAUGAUCAUGGCAUGGGGUAGAAGAGAGUUCACCUGAGUUGAUAAUGUGGAGCACUUGUCAGCAGAAGACAUUUGAGGAAAUGCAGAGUUAUGUGUUACUUCCAAAGCAUCAGACACAAAACUGAAGGUCAAAGUAGACUGAGGAACAGCCGUUAGGGUAAGUUUGCAAAUGAGAAGCUUCCAACCCAAGUUGGAAUUGGGUAUAGGUCCAUGGAACCAGCAUCAAACAGGUAUAAAGUCUGCAAAAGGUAAAGCUCUGGAACACAUGAGAGUCAAGGGUCAGGCCUCAAGAGUUGGUUGUAUCAAGUUAUUUCCCCAAUACAAUUUUUUUCUACUGUACAGCAUGGUGACCCAGUUAUACACACAUGUACACAUUCUAUUUUCUCACAUUAUCAUGCUCCAUAAUGACUAGAAACAGUUCCCAGUGCUACACAGCAGGAACUCAUUGCUAAUCCAUUCCAAAGGCAAUAGUUUGUAUCUAUUAACCCCAAGCUCCCCAACUACCCCACUCCCUCCCCCUUCCCCUCCCCCUUGGCAACCACAAGUCUAUUCUCCAAGUCCAUGAUUUUCUUUUCUGUGGAAAGGUUAAUUUGUGCCCUAUAUUAGAUUCCAGACAUAAGUGAUAUCAUAAUGGUAUUUGUCUUUCUCUUUCUGACUUACUUCACUCAGUAUGAGAGUCUCUAGUUCCAUCCAUGUUGCUGCAAAUGGCAUUAUUUUGUUCUUUUUUAUGGCUGAGUAGUAUUCCAUUGUGUAUGUUUACCACAUCUUCCUAAUCCA
rnacentral:lncRNA from 1 species